rnacentral:rRNA from 1 species
CGCCCUUAGAGUUUGAUCCUGGCUCAGGACGAACGCUGGCGGCGUGCCUAAUACAUGCAAAUUGAGCGUUGGUACUUGUACCAAGAGCAGCGAACGGGUGAGUAACGCGUGGGGAAUCUGCCUUUGAGCGGGGGACAACAUUUGGAAACGAAUGCUAAUACCGCAUAAAAACUUAACACAAGUUUAAGUUGAAAGAUGAUUGCAUCACUCAAAGAUGAUCCCGCGUUGUAUUAGCUAGUUGGUGAGGUAAAGGCUCACCAAGGCGAUGAUACAUAGCCGACCUGAGAGGGUGAUCGGCCACAUUGGGACUGAGACACGGCCCAAACUCCUACGGGAGGCAGCAGUAGGGAAUCUUCGGCAAUGGACGAAAGUCUGACCGAGCAACGCCGCGUGAGUGAAGAAGGUUUUCGGAUCGUAAAACUCUGUUGGUAGAGAAGAACGUUGGUGAGGAAACUCAUCAAGUGACGGUAACUACCCAGAAAGGGACGGCUAACUACGUGCCAGCAGCCGCGGUAAUACGUAGGUCCCGAGCGUUGUCCGGAUUUAUUGGGCGUAAAGCGAGCGCAGUGGUUUAUUAAGUCUGGUGUAAAAGGCAGUGGCUCACCAUUGUAUGCAUUGGAAACUGGUAGACU